rnacentral:rRNA from 1 species
UACGUAGGGGGCAAGCGUUGUCCGGAAUCAUUGGGCGUAAAGAGCGUGUAGGCGGCUCGAUAAGUCCGCUCUGAAAGCCCGGGGCUCAACCCCGGGAGGCGGGCGGAUACUGUCGAGCUAGAGUCCGGAAGAGGCGAGUGGAAUUCCUGGUGUAGCGGUGAAAUGCGCAGAUAUCAGGAGGAACACCAAUGGCGAAGGCAGCGCGCUGGGACGGUACUGACGCUGAGACGCGAAAGCGUGGGGAGCAAACAGG